rnacentral:rRNA from 1 species
AUACGUAGGGUGCGAGCGUUGUCCGGAAUUACUGGGCGUAAAGAGCUCGUAGGUGGUUUGUCGCGUCGUCUGUGAAAUUCCGGGGCUUAACUCCGGGCGUGCAGGCGAUACGGGCAUAACUUGAGUACUGUAGGGGAGACUGGAAUUCCUGGUGUAGCGGUGAAAUGCGCAGAUAUCAGGAGGAACACCGGUGGCGAAGGCGGGUCUCUGGGCAGUAACUGACGCUGAGGAGCGAAAGCAUGGGUAGCGAACAGGAUUAGAUACCCUGGUAGUCCAUGCUGUAAACGGUGGGCGCUAGGUGUAGGGGUCUUCCACGACUUCUGUGCCGUAGCUAACGCAUUAAGCGCCCCGCCUGGGGAGUACGGCCGCAAGGCUAAAACUCAAAUGAAUUGGCGGGG